AAUGAUGGAGCCACGGGCCACUCGAAAGUAAACUAUCGCCUUCCACCCUAUUAACCACACAUCACAGUUUAAGAAUGGGCGAAGGAAAAGCUUGGUGAACGAGACGAACUACCAAGGACGAAGUCGCUAUUGAUAUCUCUCGUAUAUUUGCGGCGGACGUCCGACCGAACACUGCCAGGCAUAUAUAUCAAGCAGCAGCAGGAGGAGGUAUCAAUUUCAUGAUUGAUUUAUAAUUUCGUCAAGAAAUAAAAUAUAUCUUAUUAUGAAUCUAUCUUCAUCCUUUCCCGCAACCUGCCCGCCCAUUUCAACCCUCCAGCACCGACCCCAGCGACAUUUGCACCCGCACUCACGCCGGCGAAUCCAGGACUCGACUUUUCGGGAGUUCUCAUCCUAGUAGAUCCACUUGCACUCAUCAUGGUGGUAUUCCCCAUUUCACUAUCAACCUUCGUCGAUGGCCCCUUCUUUUUCCUAGUAGGCGCCGGUGCCAACCCACCCUUCGAUAUAAUCGGUCUGUCUUUCGGGUGGGUGACUGGUAAGUAUACUGAACCGGUUCUCGCUGCUUCCAGCAUGCUCGGGAUAUCCGAUGGAUUGUCAUUCCCCAGAUUCCCAGGUUGCGAAGGAUGGGAAAGCCACGACGCCUGGAAAGCGUUUGAUGAUCGUUUUGAGACUGAAACCUUUUGGGCUGGCGGCGGAGGACGUGAGGCAGGGUUUAUUGUCUUGCUGCUAAACCUUCCUUUUGAGCCGCCGCCCAACAGGUGCGUGAUCUCGUCUCCCAAAGAAUUUUCGGAGCUGUCUGUUUCUGUACGCCCAGGUUGGGCUCGAGAUCGGAUCGUAUCCAUAGUAGCGUUCUUUGCUGGAUAUAUCUGCCUCGUGUUUCGCUUUUUCCUCUGGGUAGUAUCAAACGAUCCACCGCGAUAGGUUGUUUGACUAUAGGUGUUAUUUUUGGGUGGGAAUGCCGAGCUGCUGGAUCCUGAGCUGGAAUGACCCAUCUCAGGACGAUCCACUAUCAUUAGAAGACGAAAAGCCUUACCACUGCUACCUUUUCUAUCCCUCAUUUCCCCAUUCAUUCUCCCAAUCUCUUCGUUGGCUUUCUCAAUUUCCAUAUUCGCCUCUUUCACUUUAUCCCGGCGUAUCUUCUCCAACUUCUCCUCUUCCUCUAGUUGUUUUUUCAGCUUGACUUUGGCUUCCAUAUACUUUAACCGCACAGCCGCUUUUUUCAUCGAGUUGUACGACGAAAAGACAGAGUCACGAAAAGUAUCUCUUUUGCGUCGCUUGCCUUGUGGUAUUGGAGGGACAACUGGUACGGGAGGCUGGGGAUGAUCAUGAUGAGAAGGCGGAGGCGGUCUAUUGUAAUACGGGUCGUACGGAUACUUCCUCCAAUACCGAUCUCUCCUUCUCGCUCUAUCCCCAUCCCGUUCACGCCAUUGAUGUCGACGGGGAUAGUAGGUCUCAUCCGAAUAAUCCGUCUCUGUCAUACUCUCACUCUCACUCCUACGCCGUCGAUGUCCAAAUCUAUCUCUUCCUCUUCGCUGUCGUCGUCUUCUUCUUCCUCUCACUUUCCAUCUUCUCGUCCUUGAAGGACGAAUUGUACCUCCAUCACUAAUCGAAUCGUCACUCUCACUCCCGGUCUCUGUUUCCGUUUCGCUAUCUGACCACAUCUCUUUAUCGCUUUGACUCUCUUCCCUCUUCUUCUCUCGCGUCCCCAUACCCUUUGCCCUUCCUCUCAUUCGCUCAAUCAACUCCUUCUCUUUCUCUUUCUCUUUCUCUAUCCUUUUCCUUUCCCUUUCCUCAAUUUCUUCCCUCUUCUUUGCCUCUUCGACUUUUACCUUUUUCCGGUGACGCCACCAUAACCAUAUGCCCACUACCAGCACGAGCAAAGCGCUGAGAAUGAGGGCGAGGAGCUGCCACCAUGAAAGGUGGGUGGUGGCCACUGCUUUGGCGAGGAUGCUUGUUGAUGUUGCAGAAGGGGAGGAGGAGGAAAUGGUUUCGGUCACGUAGACCCGUCGAUUGAAGAGGAUCGCUGUAGGGUAUUCUGAUUGUGUGGAUGAGAUAAUUGCGUGGUACAUCGAAAUUGGGCUUGAAUUGGGCGUAAGACCGGGAAGAAGCCAGGACGAGGAACGUAUGAUGGGAGCCAUCUAUACCCAUUGUGAGGUUCUUUACCAAGCCUUCGUCUUGGAUGUCUAGCUCAUAGGUCAAUUCUUGCGUUAGCAGUAGUGCCCAACAAGACCUAGCUGCCAAAUCUAUUUGAGCCGUUGGUUGGAUCCCAAUAUGGAAACGAUUGCACAACGACCAGAAAAACUUGGUUCAGAGAUGACGCUUUGAGAAGUGACAAAUUGAACAGUUUAACGAUCGCGAAGUCUCCUUUCCCCCCCCCCCCCUUUCCAUCCCUCCAGCCAUCCUUGCCAGCCACGGGCAUCACCUUUCCUUCCUUUAGGUUUAAUCCCCCUUCUAGAAGAAAGGAAAUACUCUUUCGUGGUCGAUGGUUGGUGGAGAAUCUUUCUUUUGUUGUUUAUAUUUCUAUCCAUGUAUGGUAUAUAGCUGAACUAGACUCACAGUUGCGGAUUCUGCCUUGACUUUCCGUCCAUUCAGAUCGAGCCUUAACACCAUUAUACAUCCUAUUGAGCCGCUAUCUGACUGCAUCAGCACAUCUCGGUUCCAAUGAAGUACAAAGGCAGCAAUACCUUUCAGACUUCUCUCUACAUAACCAGCCUUCCACCUGGUAUCCGACCUGCACAGUUGAACCGAAUACUCGCUCAUCCACCAAAACCGAUUGGGAAAAGAAGAAGGAAGCGCGAUACCGGGGUUGAAUUCCCAAACGACGAAAUCUUCCCAAAUCAAGGUCAACACAAUCCAAGGGUCUACUAAAUCCAAGGCACUCUCCCUCUCAAACUAUCGAACGCAUAAUUCCCUUGCUUCAUACCAUCCUCUGUAUACCGCAAGCACCGGAUCUGGGACCACAACAUCCGACCACUUCAACAGAAAACCCAGGUUCAACGAAUUCCCAGCCGUCGAUAUCAUCUCCUUUACCAUCAGAUACAGGCGAUAGAAAUGGGACUGGGACUGAUGUUGUAGUUGAAAGAGAAGUCGAUGAAGGGGAGAUUAAUGGAGACCAAAGCGACCAGGCAACGUUGACUGAUGAAAGCGAGAGCAUAAUGGAUCAGAGACAGGAAGGAGAAGGUGAGGAGACUGUGGGGCAUAUCCAUUUUUGCUGCGAACAGCAUAUGUACCUCGGCAAAUGUAUCCUUCGUCAUCUUACGAUAGAUGGCUACCGACCAAAAGUCAGAACGAGGAGGUUUAAUGUUGGUAUUCUCAGACAUUGGGCGAGACCGAUAAGAAGGGUUUUAGCAAAUGUGGACAGUAAAGACAAAUAUAAACCAUAAUGUAAGGGCAAACGUCCACCGAGGCAAGAUCAUUUGUCCCAUUUCAAACUUGUCGCUAUCUUCCGUAUGUAGUAUCUAUAUUUUGAAUCAUGA
rnacentral:sRNA from 1 species